AUUGAACGCUGGCGGCAGGCCUAACACAUGCAAGUCGAGCGGAUGAAGGGAGCUUGCUCCUGGAUUCAGCGGCGGACGGGUGAGUAAUGCCUAGGAAUCUGCCUGGUAGUGGGGGAUAACGUCCGGAAACGGGCGCUAAUACCGCAUACGUCCUGAGGGAGAAAGUGGGGGAUCUUCGGACCUCACGCUAUCAGAUGAGCCUAGGUCGGAUUAGCUAGUUGGUGGGGUAAAGGCCUACCAAGGCGACGAUCCGUAACUGGUCUGAGAGGAUGAUCAGUCACACUCGAACUGAGACACGGUCCAGACUCCUACGGGAGGCAGCAGUGGGGAAUAUUGGACAAUGGGCGAAAGCCUGAUCCAGCCAUGCCGCGUGUGUGAAGAAGGUCUUCGGAUUGUAAAGCACUUUAAGUUGGGAGGAAGGGCAGUAAGUUAAUACCUUGCUGUUUUGACGUUACCAACAGAAUAAGCACCGGCUAACUUCGUG
rnacentral:rRNA from 1 species